UAGCAGCUGGCAGCUGGCAGCUGGCACCUCCUGCAGAGAGGCGGGGGAGGGGGGAACCCGCGGGGAGGCUGGCUGUUGUGGGAGGGCGCGCGACCCGGGAGGUGCGGUCCGAGGCGCACGAGCGACCGGGCGCUGCGACGCCGCAGCGGCUCCGAGGGGCCCUCUCGCCGGCGCUCCGGGGGGCUCCGUAGUUGGCCUUUUCUGCCCGGUGGCUGGCCUUCUUUCAAGGAGGUUUUAAGUGGGCGUUAAGCAAUCGAGAGGGGCUCCCGUGAGGGGCGAGGUUUCUGUCCCCACAAACAGUGUCCUCAUUAAAGGGUUGCAUCCGAGCCCUGCACCCCCAAAAAUGAGUCAGGUGGAGGAAGGCGGCGCGGGCAUCCAAAAUUCAUCACGAGAGAUGAUACAUCCAACCCGAGAGCUCCUACUGCUCCAACUAGAACUUGAGAGCCGAAAAUGGACACAUCCUGGAGCUGCUAGGGGCAGCAGGAUGUGCCUCGGGGAAGGAGCAGGCUUGGUCUGUUUGACCCAAAGCCAGUGGGGAGAGGCGAGGGGAACCGCGUGGGGAGACAGGAGAGGGUUUCCUACAGUAGCGGGAGCUGGGGGACUUGAUAGUCAUGGCUGUUUAUUUAUUUGCAAGCUCCAGCCUCCAAGGACUCCGUGCUGCGAGGAGGGAAUGGCCAAGUUCCAGGUGCGUUGGGUUUCUUCUCCGGAAAUGCUGUCUCCCUGAGAAGGCAUUGUCCUGAGUGCUGAAAGUGGCAGUUGCAAUUAACCACCCCUUCCUCUGUAACUUGGUUCGCCGCGCAGCCAUUGCCACCCCCGUGGGCCUUGAAGAUCUCCAGGCACCACAAGGUGAAGCUUGAGUGGCCCAAGCUCACGUCCACCGAGCCUGUGACCAGUUGCAGCUGAUGGUCACGAAGCACUUCUGCAUCGGGUACUCGAACUCAAGGUGUGCCGUGAGGCCAGCCCACUGCGGGGACACACCGCCCAAGGCCUGCCUGACCUGGACUCAUCCACCAGGAGCUGAGGCCCGGCCGCUGACUGGCAAGCGAGGAGUGGCAGCCGAGAAGAGCAGAUACGGAAGGAGGUUAUUGAGAGGAAGAGGUCUGCUGAAGCUUAUUACGUUUUAAGGCCUUUUAGAUACCCAAGUGCAGGUGUUAGGUGGAAAGUUGGAGCCUGGAGUUAAGGAGGAAGGAGCUAGAGAUAAGUUUUUGCAAAUACCUAAAGAGGCACGUAUAUGUGCUAUUUUAUUUUUUCUAAUAAUGUUCAAGUACUUCAUUUAGAAGAAGAAAGGACAUAGGAUUGAUAUGACUAUGGAAAAAUUUGAGAUCUUAACUAUGUGUGGCUGAGAGGAAAAGACAAAAGGUUAAAGGAUGAUGGAUGAUCUUUAUAAAGCAGCUGUGAUAGAAAGGAAGAACAGAAAGAAAUGGAAGAUGUUUUAAAACUGUAACUAUCACCCGGUUGGUGUGGCUUCGUGGUUCAGCUUAGGCCUAUGAACCAGGAGGUCUCAGGUUCGAUUCCCGGUCAAGGGCACAUGCCCAGGUUGUGGGCUUGAUCUCCAGUAGGGGUUGUGUAGGAGGCAGCCGAUCCAUGAUUCUCUCUCAC